CGACGAUGACCACUUCGGUGGGGAUUAGUGGCGAACGGGUGAGUAACACGUGGGCAAUCUGCCCUUCACUCUGGGACAAGCCCUGGAAACGGGGUCUAAUACCGGAUAUCACUCUCGCGGGCAUCUGCGAGGGUUGAAAGCUCCGGCGGUGAAGGAUGAGCCCGCGGCCUAUCAGCUUGUUGGUGAGGUAAUGGCUCACCAAGGCGACGACGGGUAGCCGGCCUGAGAGGGCGACCGGCCACACUGGGACUGAGACACGGCCCAGACUCCUACGGGAGGCAGCAGUGGGGAAUAUUGCACAAUGGGCGAAAGCCUGAUGCAGCGACGCCGCGUGAGGGAUGACGGCCUUCGGGUUGUAAACCUCUUUCAGCAGGGAAGAAGCGAAAGUGACGGUACCUGCAGAAGAAGCGCCGGCUAACUACGUGCCAGCAGCCGCGGUAAUACGUAGGGCGCGAGCGUUGUCCGGAAUUAUUGGGCGUAAAGAGCUCGUAGGCGGCUUGUCAC
rnacentral:rRNA from 1 species